GUUCGCGGCGGCUGUGUGCGGGACACGCUUCGGCGUGACCGAGGUUCAUGAGUGCUCGGUACUCCUACUCCUGCGCAUGGCUGCCACCCAA
rnacentral:antisense_RNA from 1 species